AGUGAACGCUGGCGGCAGGCCUAAUACAUGCAAGUCGAACGGCAGCACAGCAGAGCUUGCUCUGUGGGUGGCGAGUGGCGGACGGGUGAGGAAUACGUGGGAAUCUGCCCAGUCGUGGGGGAUAACGUAGGGAAACUUACGCUAAUACCGCAUGCGCCCUUCGGGGAAAGCCGGGGACCUUCGGGCCUGGCGCGAUUGGAUGAGCCCACGUCGGAUUAGCUAGUUGGCGGGGUAAAGGCCCACCAAGGCGACGAUCCGUAGCUGGUCUGAGAGGAUGAUCAGCCACACUGGAACUGAGACACGGUCCAGACGCCUACGGGAGGCAGCAGUAGGGAAUAUUGGGACAAUGGGCGCAAGCCUGAUCCAGCCAUGCCGCGUGAGUGAAG
rnacentral:rRNA from 1 species